rnacentral:ncRNA from 18 species
GGUGAAGUACGGUGUAAAUCCGUCGCUGUCCCGCAACUGUGAGCCCGUUAGGGUGAGCCAGAUCC